UGAGGGAUCUUGCGCAAUGGGGGCAACCCUGACGCAGCGACGCCGCGUGGGUGAAGAAGCCUUUCGAGGUGUAAAGCCCUUUUCUGUGGGAAGAGAGCGGACGGUACCACAGGAAUAAGUCACGGCUAACUACGUGCCAGCAGCCGCGGUAAAACGUAGGUGACAAGCGUUAUCCGGAAUUACUGGGCGUAAAGGGCGUCUAGGCGGUUUGGAAAGUCUAACGUGAAAGCUCCUGGCUCAACUAGGAGAGGCCGAUAGAAACUUUCAGGCUUGAGGGUCGGAGAGGGAGACGGAAUACCAGGUGAAGCGGUGAAAUGCGUAGAUAUCUGGUGGAACACCAGUGGCGAAGGCGGUCUCCUGGCCGGCACCUGACGCUGAAGCGCGAAAGCGUGGGGAGCGAACGGGAUUAGAUACCCCCGUAGUCC
rnacentral:rRNA from 1 species